UACGUAGGGGGCGAGCGUUGUCCGGAUUUAUUGGGCGUAAAGAGCUCGUAGGCGGUCUGUCGCGUCGAAUGUGAAAACCCGGGGCUCAACUCCGGGCUUGCAUUCGAUACGGGCAGGCUAGAGUUCGGUAGGGGAGUCUGGAAUUCCUGGUGUAGCGGUGAAAUGACGCAGAUAUCAGGAGGAACACCGGUGGCGAAGGCGGGACUCUGGGCCGAUACUGACGCUGAGGAGCGAAAGCGUGGGGAGCGAACAGG
rnacentral:rRNA from 1 species